AUUUGUACCUUUUUCUCUCUUUUGUCUUUUUAGGGCCGCACCCAUGGCAUAUGGAGGUGCCCAGGCUAAAGGUCUAAUCGGAGCUGCAACUGCCGGCCUGCGCCACAGCCACAGCCACACAGGAUCCGAGCCGCGUCUGCGACCUACACCCCAGCUCACGGCAACGCCGGAUCCCUGACCCUAGUAUUUGGACUUUAACUUCAAAAAAGGAACAGGAGUUCCCUGGCAGCCUAGUAGUUGAGGAUCGGGUGUGCGCUGCUGUGGCGCAGGUUCCAACCCUGGCGGCAGGUGCAGCCCAAGAAGAAACGGCACAUGACUUGAUUGGGAUCGACCUCACCUACCGAGCGUGAGAGGCCAGGCGCCGAGGCCCGCCCUUCCUCCCCGCGCCUGGCACCUGCCCUGCGUCGGGAGCUGCAGAGGCAGGAUGGGCCACACACGAGUCCGUUCACGACCACGCUGUGGGGUUCCAUUCCCCGUGCAAGGGCCACCCGGGUCGUCUUUUGUGCACCUAGGGGAACCGGAGGCUCCCCUGUGAACGCCUUUCUGGGGGUUCUGGACAGUGUCCGCCUGUGGGAACGUGUCAACCAAACAGGACUAAGCAAAAGCAGAGAGCACACGGCAGAGGUGACUGUGGUGACACAGAAUUACGUUUGUGGGGGGAGGGGCGGGUUCCGAGGCUGCCCCGGCGACGGCCUUCCCCAGGAUGGGCCUCUUCCUCGCCGUCCACUGGGUUACAUGAAGUGAACGAGGGGCGGGGAGCGGGCUGCGCCUCUGCCGGCCCGCCCCCCGCCCUGCCGGACGCACAGGGGGCUCUGCUGCUCGACGGGAAACGGCUCCGGUGACCACUGGGUGGAAGCACAGGUAGGACAGGAGCGGGGAGCAGAAGGUGGGUGUGCUAGGUGAAGGACCGAAAGAAUGUGUAAGUACGUACACACACACACACACACCCCAGCCAGCCCGGAGGCCGGAAACCCAGGGGAGCCAAAGUUGCAGUUCAAAUGCAAAGGCAGGACAAAGGCCUGGGGAGCCUCUCUUAGCCCCAGGAGAGGAUGCCGGCCGUCAGCUGCUUAGGUGAGGCCCACCCCGUUGAGGAGGCCAGUGGGCUUUAUGCAGUCUAUGGCUUUAAAUGGUAACCGUCACAGGAGUUUAGAUGAGAACCCCUCCAUGGGUCAGAUGGUUCAGGAGCGAAAAGCAGGAGGACAAAAAGCCAGGAGAGCACCACUCAUUCAUUCAUUCACUCCUUCUUCUCUGGGGGGGGAUCGUCACCUCCUCUGGUUGUGCUUUUGGCCCUUGCCGUCAUUUUCAAACUGGCGCCUCAUCCCUUGCUUUCAGGGCCCCCUUGUUUGAAGGCCAUUGGGAGCCACACCCCCAGGUGGCAGAAGUCACGCUGGGCAGAGCAGGUCAGGGCUGGGAGGGGGAGGUGGCCUCGUGGUCUUGCGGCCCUGGUGGAGCCUGGGCAUCUUUGCCCCCGUGUGGGCCUGGCCUGUGGUAGGCACACUGCACACAGGCACUGUCGCCUGGCCGCCUCCCAUAAUGCCUGCUGUCACGGAAGACAUGCUAGGGGCUUCCUCGAAGCCGUGUUUUCCUUUCUGGAGGCGUGUGUGGCAGUGGGAGUGGGGCCCAUUUAUCCUCAGCGGCUCUGCUGCCCACUGUGCUGCCUACCUGCCAUACGCGCACCACCCUCAUUGAAGCGCCAAGGCCGCCUGGGGAGGGACACCUUCUGCUCUCUGGUGCUGGCCCCAGCUCCUGGGAAGGGCAGGAAUUCCCGAUUGCCCCCUUUUAUCUGCUCUUUUUUGUCCAUGAGAACAGAACCCCAAUUUUCAGCUGACCACAGCUCCCAAAAAUCUCCAUUCCCCAGCCUCCUUUGUGGCUGUGUAUGGCCAUGUGACUAAGUUCUGCUUGAUGGAAUAUAAGCCAGAGUGGCUGCUUCCUGGACUUUUUAUCAUAAAGGAUAAUGAGCAUGUCCCCCGUGCCUCUUCACUUCCUCAAUCCUACCACCUGGAAGUUGAAUGUGAUGGCUGGAACUCUAGCCACCAUUUUGGGGCCAUGAGGGCAAAGGCUACACCCUGCAGAGAAUGGAGUGGGAAGCUGAAAGGAGCCUGGGUCCUCUGGGAGCAGAGGUGUCUCUCAGCAUUGCUCCAUCCUACUUCCAGACUUUAGCCCGAGAGAGAAAUAAACAUCCCCCUGAAGCCACUGUGGUUGGUGCACCUCAUCUUAUGUGACACACGAGGGAAGCUCAGGCAGUUGGCAACUCAUGGCUGGAGAAGAUUCUGGUGCUUUAGUGGAGCAGCAGUGAGGGAUCAGAGAUGCAGGGCAGAGGACGAGGCAUGGGGGUUGAGUUCAGCCCCUGGGGUGGUGGGAGAAAAGCAGAAACUCCCAGUCUUUGUAUACCCUGUCUUGAGUUGGGUGAGACCGUUGGCCAGGAAAGACAGCUGGUGGAUUCUGAGGACGGGAGUCUUCACCAUGAGGCUGUAAAGUGACCUGUGCCUUAGAAGUUGCAAACUUUUCUUUUCCAAAUUACCAACAGGUGCAAACCUGAGCUUGUAAUGCACGCAUUUUGUAACUGUUAGUUCUUUUGACCGUGGCAUCAAACUGCCUUCAGCAGCUUCACCUGGUGCCGCCGCCUCCUCCUCCUCCGUCGGCCAGCGCCCUAGGAGUGCCUGGAUGGGCAGCCUCCUUGGCCCGGCCACUCUGCUCCGCGCUGAGGGCUUGGCUGCAGCUCUGAAGCCCCGCUCAUCAUGACUGGGAUUGCUCUCUGAGUUUGGGGUUUCCCACGGUACAAUGGGGCACACUGACAGCAAGCUCUGCAAGGUGGCAGAGCUGGAUUCCAUGCUUACCAUACACGCAGGGCAAAGGGAGGCUUAACGUUACACUGGAAAACCUCUCGCAUCACCUACACUGAAUGCCUACAUCAUUAAAUAAACCUACGUU
rnacentral:lncRNA from 1 species